rnacentral:lncRNA from 1 species
CCUGAUUUUCCCCGGCGGCUGGUACAAACAGGUAAAUACUGCUUGUCUUUUUUGCAUCCAAGCAUGUCGUGUUUAUUAAAAAAAAAGUUUCCUCCGUUUUUUUAGCGUUGCAGAUAUGACGGGCAAAAUCAGCCAGUACUUUAAAAAGCGACCUCGCGAGGAGGAAAGUCAAGAGUCCAGGUGAAACACAGCAGAGAAAAAACGUAACAGGCAGUUAAAAUGCUAUAAUUCAUGGUGGUGACAAUGUGGAAAUUUGUGUCAGGUCUGAAAGUACUUCACAAGGGACUGGUGAUCGCGAGGGUCAGAAUGCAGGACAGGAUGAGUCGGCGAGGCGAGGGUAAUUAAUUAAUUAGUUUCCAAUUAGGAGCAUAACAACGCAAAACCAACGUGUACGUGGUUUUUAUUCCUCUUUCCAGAUCUUCUCAAAAACACAGAGCCAGUGGCUUUGACAAGCAGUGGCUCAAUCAAUUUACCUGGCUCAGGCAUACUGAGGAAGGCAUGCACUGCUAUUGAUGCCAAAAGCACUGUGCCCCAACACAGCAGGCAAUUGCUGCCUCCUUAGUGAGACAGCCAUCAACCAACUACAGGCUGGACACAUUAAAAAGACAUGAGGUGACAGUCGUUCACAAAGCAGCAGAAGAGAAGGAGAAAUAUAUUAAAGAUGGUAGUACCUAAAAACACUCAACUAAUAAAGUUACAAAAACUAAAAUAACAUAGUUUAGAUAGUUUAAGAAAUAAUUGGUUGUCGUUUUUUUAGGGAGGACACUGCAACGUAUACAUAUAUAUAACAUAUGAUUGAAAACACUAUCACUCUUCAUGUCUGUAUCAGAAUAAAAACAAAAAUACUUAAUGCAUGAUGAAUUGUUUUGUUUAAGGUGAAGACACCUCUGCGGAACAGACUGAAGGAGAGGCACUUGGAUGUCUGUUGUAAGGUGGCCGUUGAUGGACCAGACCAGGAGGCCUUGGACUACAAGGAGGGCAUGAGGAGGUUCUACAGAAUGAAAAAGAGGAGGCUGAAAUGUUCUGUCUGGUUGUGAGAUGUGUGGAUGAAGUGUACUUUCAAUUUAAAGUUGCCAGCUGA